rnacentral:lncRNA from 1 species
UUAAUUAAUCAUUCUAAAAGCAGCCCUGAGCCUUUGAAUAACAAUGUUUAAUUGUAUCCUUAGCCUUCAACUUCACCUACACCAGCCAUAGUCCUACUUCCACCAGAAAAGGAAAACUGUAAUUUGGCAAUUGGUCUGGCUGCUGGAUUCCCAAGCUUUGUGGCUCUCUGCCUCCUGGUGGCUUUGAUUGCAUUACUGGUCUUAAAGAAAAAAAGAAAUGCACAGGUAAAUGUACGCUUCACACAUUUUUUUCUAAGUCUGGUAAUUUAAAAAAAUUACACA